rnacentral:lncRNA from 1 species
ACUAAGCGAGCACUAACCGCAUGCGAAAAUGAAGGAAAAUAAAUGGAUUAGGGAAAAAUCAAGUAGAAGAAAAAGAAGAGAAAAACGGAAAAACUCAGAGAAUUUUAGCAAGAGGAAAGGGAGAAGAAUAGACAGUAGAAUUAUUUUUUGGAAAAGAGAGUUAAAAUUCAGUUAUGGGAAAAAAAUAAAAUAAAAUAAAAUCCCGAUAACCCCCAAAAUCCCUUAAUCUUAUCCCCUAAUUCCCAUUACAGAUGCACUACUAAGAAUCCCCCUAUUACACAACUCUAUCCCAAAAUCUGAGCAAAAAAUAAUACCCUUGCCUGCAUAGGGAUUCGAACACAAGACCUCCACCAUAAAAACGCACCAUUUAAUCACCAGACCAGCAAGCUGAUUCUGAUGUAAUUUACCCAAC